UAAAUGAAUAUGCCGUUACCGUAGACAGAAGGUGCCUAGGAUUUCCAAGGCUUAAUAUCCUUCCGAGGUGCUGAUGAAGAUAUUGAAUUAAUAUAUCCGAAGCCUUCGCAUGUCUGCGUGGGCUUUUUUCAUUAUAAA
rfam:Aneurinibacillus migulanus strain DSM 2895 scaffold11, whole genome shotgun sequence.